CAUAGGGAUAGCACAGUCUGCUGCAGGGGGCGGCCGGGAACACACUCCAGUGUCCACUUGGUGGUGAGGAUCAGGCAGGACGUUGUGGCCUUUGGUGACCAGCAAGGUCUUCAUUCAACCCACUGAUUGAGCUUUCAGCCCUUCAUUCAUAAUUGAAGGCCAUUAACUCCCAUGGUAUCUGAAUCUGCAGAAUAGCUGUGUUAUCAUCAUCGUGUCGUCUCUGCACAGCUUCUAAUGUGGUGAGAUGUGAUAAUGAACACGUUUGACAGGUGGGGGAAGCAAGGCAGCGGGAAUGUGAAACAGUCA